GACGAACGCUGGCGGCGUGCUUAACACAUGCAAGUCGAACGGAAAGGCCUGCUUUCCCUUGUGGAUUGCGGGUACUCGAGUGGCUAACGGGUGAGUAACUCGUGAGUGAUCUGCCCCCAACUUGGGUAUAAGCCUGGGAAACUGGGUCUAAUUACCGAUAGAACUGCAGGGUUGUGCCUGUGGUGGAAAACGAUCUUCUAGUGGUUGGGGAUGAGCUCGCGGCCUAUCAGCUUGUUGGGGGGGUAAUGGCCUACAAAGGCGGCGAGGGGUAGCCAGCCUGGGAGCGGGGACGGCGGAACUGGGACUGGGACACGGCCCAGACGGGUGCCGGAGGCAGCAGUGGGUAAUAAUGGGCAAUGAGCGGAAGCCAGAUGCAGCGACGCAGCGUGGAAGAUGACGGGAUUGGAGAUGUAAGCUACUUUGGACGGAGAGGAGGGCACCUGGCUGGAAGGGUGGUGACGGUAGUGGUAGAAGAAGCACCGGCUAACUACGUG
rnacentral:rRNA from 1 species